UAUGCCCAGUCUCCACUCCCCUCUCCAGGCUCUCAAAGGUGGGGUUAUCUGGCUUUAGACCUGUGAUUUGGACCCAGCACUAUUUAAAACUGAUUAGAUUGCUGCUGCUUUUAAUUUCUCUCUUCCUCCAUGUGCCACUUCAGGAAUAUCAAGGGAGCUGCUGUUGUUCUGGGUGGCACCCUGUUGUGCUAAGCACCACGUGAACAUCUCCUAAGCCUGCGUUGACUUCCUCAGCUAAUAAAGAGUGGGGCCAUAAACUCUGCUGCCUUUCCCCAGCAAGGCCAUUCCCUUUGGAAAGGAUACUUCCAGCAUCCAGGUCUGCUUCCAGCUCUCUUCUGUGAAAG